rnacentral:rRNA from 1 species
CAGCAGCCGCGGGAAUACGUAGGGUGCAAGCGUUAAUCGGAAUUACUGGGCGUAAAGCGUGCGCAGGCGGUUAUAUAAGACAGAUGUGAAAUCCCCGGGCUCAACCUGGAACUGCAUUUGUGACUGUAUAGCUAGAGUACGGCAGAGGGGGAUGGAAUUCCGCGUGUAGCAGUGAAAUGCGUAGAUAUGCGGAGGAACACCGAUGGCGAAGGCAAUCCCCUGGGCCUGUACUGACGCUCAUGCACGAAAGCGUGGGGAGCAAACAGGAUUAGAUACCCGCGUAGUCCCUGUCUCUUAUACA